GACGAACGCUGGCGGCGUGCUUAACACAUGCCAGUCGAACGGAAAGGCCCUGCUUUUGUGGGGUGCUCGAGUGGCGAACGGGUGAGUAACCCGUGAGUCACCUGCCCUUGACUUUGGGAUAACUUCAGGAAACUGGGGCUAAUACCGGAUAGGAGCUCCUGCUGCAUGGUGGGGGUUGGAAAGUUUCGGCGGUUGGGGAUGGACUCGCGGCUUAUCAGCUUGUUGGUGGGGUAGUGGCUUACCAAGGCUUUGACGGGUAGCCGGCCUGAGAGGGUGAACGGCCACAUUGGGACUGAGAUACGGCCCAGACUCCUACGGGAGGCAGCAGUGGGGAAUAUUGCACAGUGGGCGGAAGCCUGAUGCAGCAACGCCGCGUGCGGGAUGACGGCCUUCGGGUUGUAAACCGCUUUCGCCUGUGACGAAGCGUGAGUGACGGUAAUGGGUAAAGAAGCACCGGCUAACUACGUG
rnacentral:rRNA from 1 species